rnacentral:rRNA from 1 species
UACGAAGGGGGCUAGCGUUGUUCGGAAUUACUGGGCGUAAAGCGCGCGCAGGCGGCCGUUCAAGUCAGGGGUGAAAGCCCGGAGCUCAACUCCGGAAUUGCCUUUGAAACUGAUCGGCUUGAGUACGGUAGAGGUGAGUGGAAUUCCCAGUGUAGAGGUGAAAUUCGUAGAUAUUGGGAAGAACACCGGUGGCGAAGGCGGCUCACUGGACCGUUACUGACGCUCAGGCGCGACAGCGUGGGGAUCAAACAGG